UUGACCUCCGAUCAGGUAGGGAUACCCGCUGAACUUAAGCAUAUCAAUAAGCGGAGGAAAAGAAACCAACAGGGAUUGCCUCAGUAACGGCGAGUGAAGCGGCAAAAGCUCAAAUUUGAAAUCUGGCUCCUUCGGGGCCCGAGUUGUAAUUUGCAGAGGAUGCUUCGGGCGUGGCCGCGGUCUAAGUCCCCUGGAACGGGGCGUCGCAGAGGGUGAGAAUCCCGUCUUCGGCCGGCCGGCUUCGCCCGUGUGAAGCUCCUUCGACGAGUCGAGUUGUUUGGGAAUGCAGCUCUAAAUGGGUGGUAAAUUUCAUCUAAAGCUAAAUAUUGGUCGGAGACCGAUAGCGCACAAGUAGAGUGAUCGAAAGAUGAAAAGCACUUUGAAAAGAGAGUUAAACAGCAUGUGAAAUUGUUGAAAGGGAAGCGCUUGCGACCAGAGUCGGCCGCGGGGGUUCAGCGGGCAUUCGUUGCCCGUGCACUCCCCCGCGGGCGGGCCAGCGUCGGUUUUGACGGCCGGUCAAAGGCCCCCGGAAUGUGUCGCCUCUCGGGGCGUCUUAUAGCCGGGGGUGCAAUGCGGCCAGUCGGGACCGAGGAACGCGCUUCGGCACGGACGCUGGCUUAAUGGUCGUAAGCGACC
rnacentral:rRNA from 1 species